GCAACAGUGUGUGGUGUAGUGGUGUGUUCUGGACCCGAAGCGGAGUGAUCUACCCAUGGCCAGGGUGAAGCGACGGUAAGACGUCGUGGAGGCCCGAACCCACUUAGGUUGAAGACUGAGGGGAUGAGCUGUGGGUAGGGGUGAAAGGCCAAUCAAACUCCGUGAUAGCUGGUUCUCCCCGAAAUGCAUUUAGGUGCAGCGUUGCAUGCUUCUUGUUGGAGGUAGAGCUACUGGAUGGCCGAUGGGCCUCACAAGGUUACUGACGUCAGCCAAACUCCGAAUGCCGACAAGUGAGAGUGUGGCAGUGAGACGGCGGGGGAUAAGCUCCGUGCGUCGAGAGGGAAACAGCCCAGAUCGCCGGCUAAGGCCCCUAAGCGUGUGCUAAGUGGAAAAGGAUGUGCAGUCGCGAAGACAACCAGGAGGUUGGCUUAGAAGCAGCCACCCUUGAAAGAGUGCGUAAUAGCUCACUGGUCAAGUGAUUGUGCGCCGAUAAUGUAGCGGGGCUCAAGCACACCGCCGAAGCCGCGGCAAUCCGCCCUUGUGGUGGGUUGGGUAGGGGAGCGUCCUGCAUCCGGUGAAGCAGCCUAGUGAUGGAGCUGUGGAGGGUGUGGGAGUGAGAAUGCAGGCAUGAGUAGCGAUAAGGCAAGUGAGAACCUUGCCCGCCGAAAGACCAAGGGUUCCUGGGCCAGGCCAGUCCGCCCAGGGUGAGUCGGGACCUAAGGCGAGGCCGACAGGCGUAGUCGAUGGACAACGGGUUGAUAUUCCCGUACCCGUGUGUGAGCGUCCCUGAUGAAUCAGCGGUACUAACCGCCCAAAAGGCUGCAGAUCUGAUCCUUCGGGAAAGGACUGUGGCCGGCUGCGCGGGACCUUCGUUGGUAGUAGUCAAGCGAUGGGGUGACGCAGGAAGGUAGCCGUACCAGUCAGUGGUUGUACUGGGGUAAGCCUGUAGGGAGAAACCUAGGCAAAUCCGGGUUUCACAUAUCCUGAGAGGUGAUGCAUAGCCGAUUGAGGCGAAUUCGGUGAUCCUAUGCUGCCAAGAAAAGCCUCUAGCGAGUGCACACACGGCCCGUACCCCAAACCGACACAGGUGGUCAGGUAGAGAAUACCAAGGCGUACGAGUGAACUAUGGUUAAGGAACUCGGCAAAAUGCCCCCGUAACUUCGGGAGAAGGGGGACCCACAUGGCGUGUAAGCCCUUGCGGCCCAAGCGUGAGUGGGUGGCACAAACCAGUGAGAAGCGACUGUUUACUAAAAACACAGGUCCGUGCGAAGUCGCAAGACGAUGUAUACGGACUGACGCCUGCCCGGUGCUGGAAGGUUAAGAGGACCGGUUAACCCUUCGGGGUGAAGCUGAGAAUUUAAGCCCCAGUAAACGGCGGUGGUAACUAUAACCAUCCUAAGGUAGCGAAAUUCCUUGUCGGGUAAGUUCCGACCUGCACGAAUGGCGUAACGACUUCUCAACUGUCUCAACCAUAGACUCGGCGAAAUUGCAUUACGAGUAAAGAUGCUCGUUACGCGCGGCAGGACGAAAAGACCCCGGGACCUUCACUACAACUUGGUAUUGGAGUUCGGUUCGGUUUGUGUAGGAUAGGUGGGAGACUGUGAAGCGGCCACGCCAGUGGUUGUGGAGUCGUUGUUGAAAUACCACUCUGAUCGUAUUGGGCUUCUAACUUCGAACCGUAUAUCCGGUUCAGGGACAGUGCCUGGCGGGUAGUUUAACUGGGGCGGUUGCCUCCUAAAAUGUAACGGAGGCGCCCAAAGGUUCCCUCAACCUGGACGGCAAUCAGGUGUUGAGUGUAAGUGCACAAGGGAGCUUGACUGCGAGACGUACAUGUCGAGCAGGGACGAAAGUCGGGACUAGUGAUCCGGCACCUCUGAGUGGAAGGGGUGUCGCUCAACGGAUAAAAGGUACCCCGGGGAUAACAGGCUGAUCUUCCCCAAGAGUCCAUAUCGACGGGAUGGUUUGGCACCUCGAUGUCGGCUCGUCGCAUCCUGGGGCUGGAGCAGGUCCCAAGGGUUGGGCUGUUCGCCCAUUAAAGCGGCACGCGAGCUGGGUUUAGAACGUCGUGAGACAGUUCGGUCUCUAUCCGCCGCGCGCGUCAGAAGCUUGAGGAAAUCUGUCCCUAGUACGAGAGGACCGGGACGGACGAACCUCUGGUACACCAGUUGUCCCACCAGGGGCACCGCUGGAUAGCCACGUUCGGACAGGAUAACCGCUGAAAGCAUCUAAGCGGGAAACCCCCUCCAAGACCAGGCUUCUCACCCAUUAAGUGGGAUAAGGCCCCCCGCAGACCACGGGAUCGAUAGACCAGACCUAGACGCACAGCAAUGUGUGAAGGGAACUGGCACUAACCGGCCGAAAACUUACACA
rnacentral:rRNA from 1 species